GCCAGUGUGAUGGAAUUGGUAGACAUAGGGGAUUCAAAAUCCCCCGCCUUCGGGUGUGGCGGUUCGAGUCCGCCCACUGGUACCA
rnacentral:tRNA from 6 species